AUUGAACGCUGGCGGCAGGCCUAACACAUGCAAGUCGAACGAGUGGCGGACGGGUGAGUAAUGUCUGGGCAACUGCCCGAUGGAGGGGGCUAACUACUGGAAACGGUAGCUAAUACCGCAUACCAUCGGAUGUGCCCAGAUGGGAUUAGCUAGUAGGUGGGGUAACGGCUCACCUAGGCGCCUAUCCCUAGCUGGUCUGAGAGGAUGACCGGCCACACUGGAACAGAGACACGGUCCAGACUCCUACGGUAGGCAGCAGGGGGGAAUAUUGCACAAUGGGCGAAAGCCUGAUACAGCCAUGCCGAGUGUAUGAAGAAGGCCUUCGGGUUGUAAAGUACUUUCAGCGGGGAGGCGUUACCCGCAGAAGAAGCACCGGCUAACUCCGUGCCAGCAGCCGCGGUAAUAC
rnacentral:rRNA from 1 species